rnacentral:hammerhead_ribozyme from 1 species
AUCUAGCUGAUGAGUUCCAAAUAGGAUGAAACGCGCUUCCUGGAU